UACGUAGGUCGCAAGCGUUGUCCGGAUUUACUGGGCGUAAAGAGCGCGCAGGCGGCUGGUCAAGUCCGAUGUGAAAUCCCUCAGCUUAACUGGGGAACUGCGUCUGAGACUGGUGGGCUUGAGUGCAGGAGAGGAACGCGGAAUUCCAGGUGUAGCGGUGAAAUGCGUAGAUAUCUGGAGGAACACCGGUGGCGAAGGCGGCUCACUGGUCCGGUACUGACGCUGAUGUGCGAAAGCGUGGGGAGCAAACGGG
rnacentral:rRNA from 1 species